GGGGAGGAGCGAGGAGAAGGUGUGUAGGGUGGCGGGGUGGGGGGGUCGUUGCCUGGUUGGGGGAGGGGACGUCGAGGGGCGCAGGGUGAAGUUCAAAGCGUGGCCAGGGCUGGUUCAGGCAGAGGGUAGGGGUGCUCGAGAGGGGAUUAGGGUCUGGCCAGGUUGUGGGGACAGGCCAGAGAGUUUCCGAGGCGAGUCUGGGUAUCUUGAGGGGGCCCGGGGCGACUGGAGCUAGUGAGGGAGUUGGGGGGGUUCAGGGCGAAGNGCUGGGAGCAGGACGUGUGCGUGGCCCAGGAGGGGGAAGCAAGGUGGCUGGUAGUGUGCAGUAAGUAGGCUGUGGGUGUGUGCUCCUUCCAGGCUUCAGGUCACAUUUACUCCUGUCCUUUUCUUCAAGAUGGAGGGAUUCCUGGGCCUGGCCUUAACUGCUCUCCUAGUGCCCCCGGGAGGGUUUGUGACCCUGUCCUGUUUGGAAAACCCGUGCUGCCCUCUUUUCCCUUUAUGUGUAAUUACGGUUGGAUCAUCUCUAUGCUUUGCUCAGAUUCUCCUUCCUCCCUCUGGGGUUGAGGAGGAGGAGACACAUCUGACCAAUUAAUGUGUGUUUGUGAAACAGGCAGCAGCAAACAGUCAUUUCAGCUUCUAGGAAUUAGGCUCACACAGGGUGGAGAGAUCAGAGCCCUUCAGGGGGAAUAUUUCUGAACAAAUCACAGAUGAUUAAAUUCUCUAAGAAACAGCUUCCUACCUAAAUGAGAGUGGGAAAGAUGGGGGAGAAAGCCUGUCUGUUUCCAGCCAUGUGUCCAGAGCCCCAGGGGUUGAGGAGAGUCCCCAGUCCCCCCACAGGCCUCUCUUUUCUCUAUGAGGCUUUGCUCGGCAGCCUUGAGUUAAUUUCACCCCUGCGGCUUUGUCUUGGGGGAGGGAGUGCUGGUUUAGGCUGUUGUGAGGAGAUGACUGUUUUGCUGCCACACACAAUAGUCGUGUCAUUUUAUCGGGAGAGCUACCCCAGGGCUGAGAACUGCUGCUGCAGAGAUAAACCGGUCCCUCUCACCCGCCUAUUGUGUACACAGUGA
rnacentral:lncRNA from 1 species